rnacentral:rRNA from 1 species
UACGGAGGAUGCGAGCGUUAUCCGGAUUUAUUGGGUUUAAAGGGUGCGCAGGCGGAGGUGCAAGUCAGUGGUCAAAUUGCGGGGCUCAACCCCGUACUGCCGUUGAAACUGGCUGUCUUGAGAUGUCGAGAGGUAUGCGGAAUGCGCAGUGUAGCGGUGAAAUGCUUAGAUAUCAUGAAGAACUCCGAUCGCGAAGGCAAGUGUCCGGGGUGCAACUGACGCUGAGGCUCGAAAGUGCGGGUAUCAAACAGG